UACGCAGGGUGCGAGCGUUGUCCGGAAUUACUGGGCGUAAAGAGCUCGUAGGUGGUUUGUCGCGUUGUUCGUGAAAUCUCACGGCUUAACUGUGAGCGUGCGGGCGAUACGGGCAGACUAGAGUACUGCAGGGGAGACUGGAAUUCCUGGUGUAGCGGUGGAAUGCGCAGAUAUCAAGAGGAACACCGAUGGCGAAGGCAGGUCACUGGGCCGCAACUGACGCUGAGGAGCGAAAGCAUGGGGAGCGAACAGG
rnacentral:rRNA from 1 species